GACGAACGCUGGCGGCGUGCUUAACACAUGCAAGUCGAACGGAAAGGCCCCUUUGGGGGUACUCGAGUGGCGAACGGGUGAGUAACACGUGAGUAACCUGCCCUUGACUUCGGGAUAACUUCAGGAAACUGGGGCUAAUACCGGAUAGGAAUCCUUGCUGCAUGGUGGGGGUUGGAAAGCUUCGGCGGUUUUGGAUGGACUCGCGGCUUAUCAGCUUGUUGGUGGGGUAGUGGCUUACCAAGGCUUUGACGGGUAGCCGGCCUGGGAGGGCGACCGGCCACAUUGGGACUGAGAUACGGCCCAGACUCCUACGGGAGGCAGCAGUGGGGAAUAUUGCACAAUGGGCGGAAGCCGGAUGCAGCAACGCCGCGUGCGGGAUGACGGCCUUCGGGUUGUAAACCGCUUUCAGCAGGGGCGAAGCUUGUGGUGACGGUACCUGCAGAAGAAGCACCGGCUAACUACGUG
rnacentral:rRNA from 1 species